CCGAAGCUGGCCCCUCAACAUCGGGCAGCACUAAGAGUCUUAGAUCCAGGUCAGCACUGCCUAUGUCCAGCUCAGGUCCCGUCCUUCCUGCCCUGUGCAUUAUAUGUAAAAAAAAAAACCCUCAAAUUCGUCUUAAAGGGAGGCAAACGACAAAGGGAAGCUCUUUCAAAAGCUGAGACCUUAACAGCAGGCAAGUUGCAGACUGCUGCUGAGACUAAAGAUGACCACAGUAUUCUGGUACACAUUAAGGACAAAGACUGUGUGGCUCUGGAGGUGCAGUACCACAAGAGCUGCUACCAGCAGUACACCAGAUUUCUGAAUGAGCCUGCUAGACAAGAGAAGGACAAGUCAUUGCCUGGAUGCUGACCCCUGCCUUUUUGCACCGUGCCACAGGACUUUAUAUAUAUAUAUAUAUAUAUAUAUAUAUAUAUAUAUAUAUAUAUAUAUAUAUAUAUAUAUAUAUAUAUAUAUAAUUUUUGUGUGUAUAUAUAAAUUUGCAUUUGUAAUGUGUAUAUAUCACUGUUUUGUUGUUUACAUUUUCUAUU